rnacentral:tRNA from 1 species
GGGGAUUUAGCUCAGUGGUAGAGCGCUUGCCUAGGAAGCGCAAGGUUCUGGGUUCAGUCCUCA